rnacentral:lncRNA from 1 species
CUUGUGGGAGCCUAGUCCAGGUGAGCUGCUCCCCUGUGCCCGUGACUGAAUCAUCUCAUUGAAAUGCAAAGAUGGGCUGACUACUUGGUGCUAGGCAAGGAAACAAAAAGGCAUCUUUUAAGUCUAGGCAAGUAAACCAAGCAGCAUUUGCAGGAAUGAGUCCCAUUAAAAUAUACAGGUUUGGUACUACUGGGUGGAUGGUCACUGUAGCCUGGUUUACAGCAUGCAAGUUCUGCACCAGUCUGUAUUCAUUAGUCCCUGGUUUCCGCACUGGCAAAAGCAGAGUGUUCCAUGGUGACCAGCAUUGGGCCAAGACCCUGUGUUCCAAUAGCCGCUUCAAAUGCCCUUGAAUGCCCUGUACGGCUUCUUGGGAAAGUGGGUAUUGACAAACCCGAACCGGAAUUUCCCCCGGUUUUAGUUCUACUGUCACUGGUGCCUGGUUCCAGCCAGUCCAGGGGGCUUAUCUUCAGCCCACUCCAGGAAUUUUACUAGGCAACCCAUACAGCUCAUCUAGCUCUGGCUUUAGCAAUCCUUUUGCGCACAGUCUCCAUUCCUCUGCCUGUGGGACGGUAAGGGUUAACACCAUUGCUUCUGGGUGGGGCAGGCUUAAAGUCAUAUUCCCCUGCUGCCUGAAAGCAAUCUGGGCUUGCAGUUUUCGAGUAAGCCUCUUCCUAUCAGGGGAACUGGGCAAUUCGGGAGGUAUAGGAAUUCAUGCUGGACCUCUAGUCCCCUUAUGACAUAUCUCUGGGGCCAGAAGAAUGGCCUUUUCUCUGGGACCCCUGUAGCCCCAACGAUAGUCAUAAUUUUUGGAUAGUGGCCCCACAGGCCAUGUCACUGCCGAGUGUUCAGCCCCAGUGGCUACCAUAAAGUCCAUCAGUUGGCCCCCUACUUUCACCAUGACCAUGGGCUCCUGGCAGCCUAAGGAGAUGGAGCCCGGUCUUGCCUAAUCUUCAUACCCUUCAGUUCCUGCCAGCCGGAUAAGGUCUUUAGAAAAUAUCUCCUUCAACCAAUUGCCAAGCAGAAAAUAUUUGAAUCCACCUAUGACCUGAAAGCCCCUGCUUCCAGUUGUCCCACCUUUCCAGACCAAACCAAUGUAUGUCUUACAUGCAUUGAUUGAUGUCUUUUGUCUCUCCAACACGUAUAAAACCAAGCUGUAGCCUGGCCACCUUGGGCACAUGUUCUUACAGUCUCCUGAAGGCUGUGGCAUAAGCCAUUGGUCACUCACAUUUGGCUCAAAAUAAAUAUCUUCAAAUAUUUUAUAGAGUUUGACUCUUUUUGUCAACAAAACCCUAGAAAUAAUUUUAAAAAGCAACUACCUGAGUUAUUGAGAGUGAAAAGAGGCAGA